rnacentral:rRNA from 1 species
GACGAACGCUGGCGGCGUGCUUAACACAUGCAAGUCGAACGGAAAGGCCCUGCUUUUGUGGGGUGCUCGAGUGGCGAACGGGUGAGUAACACGUGAGUAACCUGCCCUUGACUUUGGGAUAACUUCAGGAAACUGGGGCUAAUACCGGAUAGGAGCUCCUGCUGCAUGGUGGGGGUUGGAAAGUUUCGGCGGUUGGGGAUGGACUCGCGGCUUAUCAGCUUGUUGGUGGGGUAGUGGCUUACCAAGGCUUUGACGGGUAGCCGGCCUGAGAGGGUGACCGGCCACAUUGGGACUGAGAUACGGCCCAGACUCCUACGGGAGGCAGCAGUGGGGAAUAUUGCACAAUGGGCGGGAGCCUGAUGCAGCAACGCCGCGUGCGGGAUGACGGCCUUCGGGUUGUAAACCGCUUUCGCCUGUGACGAAGCGGGAGUGACGGUAAUGAGUAAAGAAGCACCGGCUAACUACGUG